ensembl:lncRNA LINC01116 long intergenic non-protein coding RNA 1116
UCCUGGCCGACGCGCGAGGGCGCGGGCGGGUACCGGGUUCCCGUUUUUCCCAGGCCCCGAUCCCCGCCCACGCACGAGGCCCCCGGCCCACGCACGAGGCGCCCACGCCCAUCGUGGAGGCUCCGCCUGGAAAAGAAGUCCGACUUCCUCUCCAAGCUGCUCCGAGGGGAAUGGGGAAUCGGCAGGAAAUGACCCGAACUGCCAGCCUGCGCCUUUGCAGCCGGCCCUCGCUUUGCUGAAGACGAGCAGCUCCCACCAAAGUCUUGCCUCCCCUUACCCCGAAAGCCCCGCUCAGUUCAAUAUUUCAAGUGAAAAUCUGCCUGUUCGAAAAGAAAAUAUUCACAAAUGAGCAGUGUAUUAGAAGACAACUGAAUUGCUUCUAAGAAUGGUGGGGUCUCACUCUGCCAUCACCCAGGCUGGAGUGUGGUGGCACCAUCAUGGCUCACUGCAGCCUUGAACUCCUGAGCUCAAGUCAUCCUCCCACCUCAGCCUUCCGAGUAGCUGGAACUGCAGGUGUGAGCCACCAUGCCUGGCUGAUUUGUCUUUUUAAAUUUUUUAUAGAGACCGAGUCUCAACUAUAUUGUCCAGGCUGGAAAAGAACUUCUUUCCCUCCAAGUGAUAACCUUUUCCAGACAAGUCAGCUUAAAAACUGACCCAAAGGCCCUGAAGUACACAGUUUUCUUGGAGAAAGAAAAAAAUAAGUGAAAAGGACUUGCUGACUUGCUAAUUCAUUUUGGGGCCUGUGGGUAACAUCAGAAUGGCAAAGCACUUGGGGCUUUUUUCUAAUUUGUAUUUUUUUAAUCUUCUGAGAAAUGACUUUUAUAUGCCAAGAUUCAUUCCAUGAUUAGUUUUUAUGACCAAGUUAUGAACGCUUUUGAAUAUGGGGACCUAGAAUAGAAAUGCUAACCUACCUGCAAGGAGAGCUCUGUGAUUGGCAUCCCCAUCAUGCUGUAACUGACACAAAAUAAACUUAGGGUAAUUGCCGCAUAGUGUAACUUUAAUGUGUGAGCAUACUGUAACAUCUGACAAGCUUCUUGAUCUAGAUCAGCAAUGUGUAACCCAUUCAUUGUUGUCACUCUCAACAAGGCCUUAUGGUCAAACAUCAUCACUCUCACUAAAGAGAUAGUUUACUGAAAUAUACUGAGAUUUUGAAACUGGAGUCAAGAGGUAGCACACUGUUUUAUGUUGAUCCAUUUAAUGGUCCUUGACAGCCAAUAAAAAGACACUGGAAGAAUA